rnacentral:lncRNA from 1 species
GGGGAGAGCGCUACCGAUGUGGGGAGGGGAUUAUUUGAAGAGCUCCGUGCCUCCCGCACAGACUUGACGGUUGCCGGCACCAUGGUCGCCGGAGGUGCUGCGCCCUCCUGCACGGCUUCGAUGCUUGUCGGGACCAUGGUUGCCGGAGGCGCUGUGCCCUCCUGCAUGGUCUCGACGCAAGCCAUCAUCAUUGCUGGCCCACCGUCCUCUUCAGCCUCGACGAGGUUCGCCGCGGCCGCGGCAUCCUCAUCAGCCAUCCUCUUGCGACACUCACGGGCCCAGUGGCCCUUGAUGCUACAAUAUCGGCACUUGUCCCGGUCGUCGUUGCCGGCACCUCGCCCGGCUCCACCCUGGGUGCGACCGCCGCCUCUGCUGCUCUGGGUACCGCCACCACGUCCUUGACGCUUCCUCGCCUCCCACUUCUUUGAGAAUAGGAGUUGUCCGCCGCCGAAGCUCUCGCGGCCGUCGUCAAGACGGUCCUCGACCACCCGCAACCGGCCCGUGAGCUCCUCGACGGAGAGCUCACUCAGAUCAAGCAAGGUCUCGAUGGAGACCGCUACCUGAGCGAAGCGAGAUGGCACGACGCGGAGAAAUUUCCGCACGACUCUCGUGUCGUCCAUGGUGUCGCCGAGCGCGCGGAGCUGUGACGCAAGGCUGGAGAUCCGCAUGGCGAAUUCGUCGACGAGCUCACCCUCCUUGAAGGCGAUGUUCUCGAAGUCCGCCUGCAGCUUCUGCGCGUUCGCCUCACGCACGCGGUUGCUGCCGAGGCGCUGGGUACGGAUGGCUUCCCACGCCUCCUUGGCGCUUGCCUUUGCCGCGAGCAUGCCGUGCAUCUCCGGUGGCGUGGCGCGCAUGAGGGCUGCCACGGCUUUCCUGUCCUCCUUUCUCUCGAUCAGGUCGUCCUCCAUGGGAGCCCAGAGGCUCGCCGCAUGAAGGUUGCACUCCAUGAUCAACGCCCACUCACUGUAGUUCGAGCGCGUGAGCAUCGGGAAGGUGAUGGGCACGCUACCGCUGAUUGCGGUCUCGCGCACGAUCUCCCUAACCACGACCUCACCGCGAUGGCCGCGCCUGGAGCGGCUGCGCCCUCGCCGCUCCUCCGGAGCCGACGACUGGGAACCACCCGAGGUGGUGCGUUGCUGCACUCCUUUACCACCGGCCAUGGCUACCACAACCAGAGGCUCUGAUACCAAUUGUUAGCCCAGAACUACUCGCUAGCACUCGAGUACACUGAUACACGACCGACGGAAGAGCCAAGUGCUACUACUGCCUGCGCUCAGCACACUAGCAAAGCACACACACUCACUAGUGCUGCUUACACACACAUGCACAUUGAAGAGAGAAGCUCACGGACACACCAGCUGUUGUGAAGCUCAAAUGGAUUUUGAAUGGAAUGAGUUACAUAGAUGGAGCACAGCUCCUUAUAUAGUGGUCACGAACCGACCUAAGCAAAAUAUCUACUAGCUAUGAAGUAAGCACUUGCGUCACAUACUAGCUUAUCUAGUAAGCUUCGUUUCUACUACUACUACUGCCUUAACUAGUAAGGAAUGCAAAAGUUGUUGUUGACGACCUGCACCUUCUGCAUGCUAGCUAAGUGACCGCUUGUGCUGCUGCCGCCGCUGUAGCCACGCAUGCAUCGGAGACAGGGUUGGGCCCACAAUCUCCCCCUCAACCAUGUCGGAGGGUCUUGAUGUCGAUGAUCCCGAUCUUGUUGCGCGGUUCUUGGAACUCGACGCAACCAAGUACCUUCAUUGGGAUGUCCGCCUUCUCGGCGGCCCGUACGCCCUGUUCGUGCUUCUUGAUCUCGGGUGCUGCGAUCGUCUCGCUGGCUCGAGAAGGUCCCCCUAGGCUUCGGAACCUGUGUGGAUCGCCACCAUUUUUGUUGGCAUCGAACAAGUCCGACCGCGCUGUUGACGGGGACAUGAACUGCCCGGGAACCACCUCGCUCGUGGGCGUCAGUGUUCCUGGGGUCGUAGUUCCUGAUGUCACACUGCCCGGGAACUCCCUUCCCGGGGUCGUCGUGCCGGACGCCGCACUGCCCGGGAACUCCCUUCCCAGGGAUGACUUGUCGGACAUCGCACUACCCAGGAACUCCUUUCCUGGGGUCGUUGUGCCGGACGCCGCACUGCCCGGAGUGGCUCCUCUCAGGGUAGCGAAGUCCUUGGUGUUCUUCCCAUCAGACUUGCUUGUCGGGUCUCCUCCGACAGUUGUGAGUCGUGCCUUCCGCACGGACUCGAUGGACCCCGAGCGCGUCAGGGUUGCUGCGUGGCUGACCAUAGAGCACCGCGCCUCCUGCACAGCCUCGAUGGUCGCCAGAGUCACGGUCGAGGCCUUGUCCCCCCAUGACCGUCUCUUCAUGGCCUCCCAGCUGUUGAGGCCCGUCGAAGAGUGCCGUGUUGCCCACACGGGCUUGCAGAACCCCGAGAACCUGGUUGUCGGGGUAUGGCCGACCUGAGAGUGCCGUGCCUCUUGCACGGUCUCACUGGUCACCAGCAUCAUGGUUGGGAAAUGGCCCACCAUAUGCGUCGUUGCCGUGCCUCCUGACACGGGCUUAUUGGGUCUCGAGGAUGUCGGGUACGCCUUUGCCGUGCCAACUUGCACGGGCUUGUCGGGUCCCGAGGAUGUCAGGGCCGCGAUUGCCGUGCCAACUUGCACGGGCUUGACCAGCGUCACAAGGGACGUGGUUGCCGGGGUGUGGCUCCCCCACACCCGGGUCUUCAUCUCCUCCCAAUCGAAAUCUCCCGAGAAUGUUGUUGCCGGGGAGAGCGCUACCGAUGUGGGGAGGGGAUUAUUUUAAGAGCUCCGUGCCUCCCGCACAGACUUGACGGUUGCCGGCACCGUGGUCGCCGGAGGUGCUGCGCCCUCCUGCACGGCUUCGAUGCUUGUCGGGACCAUGGUUGCCGGAGGCGCUGUGCCCUCCUGCAUGGUCUCGACGCAAGCCAUCAUCAUUGCUGGCACACCGUCCUCUUCAGCCUCGACGAGGUUCGCCGCGGCCGCGGCAUCCUCAUCAGCCAUCCUCUUGCGGCACUCACGGGCCCAGUGGCCCUUGAUGCUACAAUAUCAGCACUUGUCCCGGUCGUCGUUGCCGGCACCUCGCCCGGCUCCACCCUGGGUGCGACCGCCGCCUCUGCUGCUCUGGGCACCGCCACCACGUCCUUGAUGCUUCCUCGCCUCCCACUUCUUUGAGAAUAGGAGUUGUCCGCCGCUGAAGCUCUCGCGGCCGUCGUCAAGACGGUCCUCGACCACCCGCAACCGGCCCGUGAGCUCCUCGACGGAGAGCUCACUCAGAUCAAGCAAGGUCUCGAUGGAGACCGCUACCUGAGCGAAGCGAGAUGGCACGACGCGGAGAAAUUUCCGCACGACUCUCGUGUCGUCCAUGGUGUCGCCGAGUGCGCGGAGCUGUGACGCAAGGCUGGAGAUCCGCAUGGCGAAUUCGUCGACGAGCUCGCCCUCCUUGAAGGCGAUGUUCUCGAAGUCCGCCCGCAGCUUCUGCGCAUUUGCCUCGCGCACGCGGUUGCUGCCGAGGCGCUGGGUACGGAUGGCUUCCCACGCCUCCUUGGCGCUUGCCUUCGUCGCGAGCAUGCCGUGCAUCUCCGGUGGCGUGGCGCGCAUGAGGGCUGCCACGGCUUUCCUGUCCUCCUUUCUCUCGAUCAGGUCGUCCUCCAUGGGAGCCCAGAGGCUCGCCGCAUGAAGGUUGCACUCCAUGAUCAACGCCCACUCGCUGUAGUUCGAGCGCGUGAGCAUCGGGAAGGUGAUGGGCACGCUACCGCUGAUUGCGGUCUCGCGCACGAUCUCCCUAACCACGACCUCACCGCGAUGGCCGCGCCCGGAGCCGGCGACUGGGAACCACCCGAGGUGGUGCGUUGCUGCACUCCUUUACCACCGGCCAUGGCUACCACAACCAGAGGCUCUGAUACCAAUCGUUAGCCCAGAACUACUCGCUAGCACUCGAGUACACCGAUACACGACCGGCGGAAGAGCCAAGUGCUACUACUGCCUGUGCUCAGCACACUAGCAAAGCACACACACUCACUAGUGCUGCUUACACACACACGCACAUUGAAGAGAGAAGCUCACGGACACACUAGCUGUUGUGAAGCUCAAAUGGAUUUUGAAUGGAAUGAGUUACAUCGAUGGAGCACAGCUCCUUAUAUAGUGGUCACGAACCGACCUAAGCAAAAUAUCUGCUAGCUAUGAAGUAAGCACUUGCGUCACAUACUAGCUUAUCUAGUAAGCUUUGUUUCUACUACUACUACUGCCUUAACUAGUAAGGAAUGCAAAAGCUGUUGUUGCCGACCUGCACCUUCUGCAUGCUAGCUAAGUGACCGCUUGUGCUGCUGCCGCCGCUGUAGCCACGCAUGCAUCUAGCCAUGCAUGCAUCGGAGACAGGGUUGGGCCCACAC